GAGGCUUCCAAAGGGAAAGUCGCUCUGCGCUCUCAGGAUGCACAGCCUGGUAUGCAGGUAGGUGGGGGAGCCACUGAGCCUUCAGCAGGGGUGAGUGAAGAAGGAGAGUGGUGAAGGGUGACAAGCCUUCACUUUGGUUAUUGAAAGGGGAAUUAGGUUUUAAAGUGAAAUGAAAUACAGUUGGGCUUCGCAGGUGGCUCUAGUGGUGAAGAAUCCUGCCUGCCCACGCAGGAGAUGCAAGAGAUAUGGGUUCGAUCCCUGGGUUGAGAAGAUCCCCUUGGAGUAAGAAACGGCAACCCACUUCAGUAUUCCUGCCUGGAGAAUCCCAUGGACAGAGAAGCUUGGCGGGCUACAGUCCGUGGGGCCACGAAGAGUCGGAGGCUACUGAGCACACACACGUGCUUCCUAAGGCCUUCUGGACUUCACACUGCAUGGUGUCUGGCUCUAGGCAAACCAUUCAAUAUCAUGGUGAUCCAAGCCUAUGCCCCAACCAGUAACGCUGAAGAAACUGAAGUUGAACGGUUUAUGAAGACCUAUAAGACCUUUUAGAACUAACACCCAAAAAAGAUGUCAUUUUCAUUAUAGAGGACUGGAAUGCAAAAGUAGGAAGUCAAGAAACACCUGGAAUAACAGGAAAAUUUGGCCUUGGAAUGCGGAAUGGAGCAGGGCAAAGGCUAAUAGAGUUUUGCCAAGAGAACGCACUGGUCAUAGCAAAC
ensembl:lncRNA